GAACGCUGGCGGCGUGCCUAAUACAUGCAAGUCGAGCGGACUGAAUGGGAGCUUGCUCUUGUUCGGUCAGCGGCGGACGGGUGAGUAACACGUGGGCAACCUGCCCGCAAGACCGGGAUAACUCCGGGAAACCGGAGCUAAUACCGGAUAACACCGAAGACCGCAUGGUCUUUGGUUGAAAGGCGGCGCAAGCUGCCACUUGCGGAUGGGCCCGCGGCGCAUUAGCUAGUUGGUGAGGUAACGGCUCACCAAGGCGACGAUGCGUAGCCGGCCUGAGAGGGUGACCGGCCACACUGGGACUGAGACACGGCCCAGACUCCUACGGGAGGCAGCAGUAGGGAAUCUUCCGCAAUGGGCGAAAGCCUGACGGAGCGACGCCGCGUGAGCGAAGAAGGCCUUCGGGUCGUAAAGCUCUGUUGUGAGGGACGAAGGAGCGUCGUUCGAAGAAGGCGGCGCGGUGACGGUACCUCACGAGGAAGCCCCGGCUAACUACGUGCCAGCAGCCGCGGUAAUACGUAGGGGGCGAGCGUUGUCCGGAAUUAUUGGGCGUAAAGCGCGCGCAGGCGGUUCCUUAAGUCUGAUGUGAAAGCCCACGGCUCAACCGUGGAGGGUCAUUGGAAACUGGGGGACUUGAGUGCAGGAGAGGAGAGCGGAAUUCCACGUGUAGCGGUGAAAUGCGUAGAGAUGUGGAGGAACACCAGUGGCGAAGGCGGCUCUCUGGCCUGCAACUGACGCUGAGGCGCGAAAGCGUGGGGAGCNAACAGGAUUAGAUACCCUGGUAGUCCACGC
rnacentral:rRNA from 1 species